GCUGAUAUAUUUCCACACAAACGAAAAGGAAAAUGGAAGCACCUCUGACUUCCUGAGCUCUCUUGGAUUGAAUUAUAUGUGUUGAGGUAAUAUAAUUGCUUCAGGAACUCAAGUUAUCAAGAAGUUCGGUUUUGGGGUCCGAUUGCGGAAUCCUUUGGAAUUAUAGAAAAAUGGAACAUGAAAAUGGGCUAAAAUUUCGACCCACUUUAAAAUGAAAUAUAUUAAUGUACUAUGUUAGGAAAUUCAACCACGAAUUCAUAGAGGUAUCCCAUAUGCAAAUCGGGAUUCGGGAACUCAAGUUAUGGAAUCAAGAAGUUCUGAUUUGGGGUCCACUUCUGGACACCUUUGGAAUUAUAGAAAAAUGAAACAUGAAAAUGGGCUAAAAUUUCGACCCACUUUAAAAUGAAAUAUUUUAAUGUAGCAUGUUAGGAAAUUCAACCACGAAUUCAUAGAGGUAUCCCACAUGCAAAUCGGGAUUCAUGAACUCAAGUUAUGGAAUCAAGAAGUUCUGAUUUGGGGUCCAAUUUUGGAGUCCUUUGGAAUUAUAAGAAAUAAGAGAACAUGAAAAUGGGCUAAAAUUUCGACCCACUUUAAAAUGAAAUAUUUUAAUGUAGCAUGUUAGGAAAUUCAACCACGAAUUCAUAGAGGUAUCCCACAUGCAAAUCGGGAUUCGGGAACUCAAGUUAUGGAAUCAAGAAGUUCGGUUGUGGGGUCCGAUUGCGGAAUCCUUUGGAAUUAUAGAAAAAUGGAACAUGAAAAUGGGCUAAAAUUUCGACCCACUUUAAAAUGAAAUAUUUUAAUGAAGUAUGUUAGAAAAUUCAACCACGAAUUCAUAGAGGUAUCCCACAUGCAAAUCGGGAUUCGGGAACUCAAGUUAUGGAAUCAAGAAGUUCGGUUGUGGGGUCCGAUUCCGGAAUCCUUUGGAAUUAUAGAAAAAUGGAACAUGAAAAUGGGCUAAAAUUUCGACCCACUUUAAAAUGAAAUAUAUUAAUGUACUAUGUUAGGAAAUUCAACCACGAAUUCAUAGAGGUAUCCCACAUGCAACUCGGAAUUCGGGAACUCAAGUUAUGGAAUCAAGAAGUUCGGUUGUGGGGUCCGAUUCCGGAAUCCUUUGGAAUUAUAGAAAAAUGGAACAUGAAAAUGGGCUAAAAUUUCGACCCACUUUAAAAUGAAAUAUAUUAAUGUACUAUGUUAGGAAAUUCAACCACGAAUUCAUAGAGGUAUCCCACAUGCAAAUCGGAAUUCGGGAACUCAAGUUAUGGAAUCAAGAAGUUCGGUUUUGGGGUCCAAUUCUGGACACCUUUGGAAUUAUAGAAAAAUGAAACAUAAAAAUGGGCUAAAAGUUCGACCCACUUUAAAAUGAAAUAUUUGAAAGUAGCAUGUUAGGAAAUUCAACCACGAAUUCAUAGAGGUAUCCCACAUGCAAAUCGGGAUUCGGGAACUCAAGUUAUGGAAUCAAGAAGUUCGGUUGUGGGGUCCGAUUGCGGAAUCCUUUGGAAUUAUAGAAAAAUGGAACAUGAAAAUGGGCUAAAAUUUCGACCCACUUUAAAAUGAAAUAUUUUAAUGAAGUAUGUUAGAAAAUUCAACCACGAAUUCAUAGAGGUAUCCCACAUGCAAAUCGGGAUUCGGGAACUCAAGUUAUGGAAUCAAGAAGUUCGGUUGUGGGGUCCGAUUCCGGAAUCCUUUGGAAUUAUAGAAAAAUGGAACAUGAAAAUGGGCUAAAAUUUCGACCCACUUUAAAAUGAAAUAUAUUAAUGUACUAUGUUAGGAAAUUCAACCACGAAUUCAUAGAGGUAUCCCAUAUGCAAAUCGGGAUUCGGGAACUCAAGUUAUGGAAUCAAGAAGUUCUGAUUUGGGGUCCACUUCUGGACACCUUUGGAAUUAUAGAAAAAUGAAACAUGAAAAUGGGCUAAAAUUUCGACCCACUUUAAAAUGAAAUAUUUUAAUGUAGCAUGUUAGGAAAUUCAACCACGAAUUCAUAGAGGUAUCCCACAUGCAAAUCGGGAUUCGGGAACUCAAGUUAUGGAAUCAAGAAGUUCGGUUGUGGGGUCCGAUUGCGGAAUCCUUUGGAAUUAUAGAAAAAUGGAACAUGAAAAUGGGCUAAAAUUUCGACCCACUUUAAAAUGAAAUAUUUUAAUGAAGUAUGUUAGAAAAUUCAACCACGAAUUCAUAGAGGUAUCCCACAUGCAAAUCGGGAUUCGGGAACUCAAGUUAUGGAAUCAAGAAGUUCGGUUGUGGGGUCCGAUUCCGGAAUCCUUUGGAAUUAUAGAAAAAUGGAACAUGAAAAUGGGCUAAAAUUUCGACCCACUUUAAAAUGAAAUAUAUUAAUGUACUAUGUUAGGAAAUUCAACCACGAAUUCAUAGAGGUAUCCCAUAUGCAAAUCGGGAUUCGGGAACUCAAGUUAUGGAAUCAAGAAGUUCUGAUUUGGGGUCCACUUCUGGACACCUUUGGAAUUAUAGAAAAAUGAAACAUAAAAAUGGGCUAAAAUUUCGACCCACUUUAAAAUGAAAUAUUUUAAUGUAGAAUGUUAGGAAAUUCAACCACGAAUUCAUAGAGGUAUCCCAUAUGCAAAUCGGGAUUCGGGAACUCAAGUUAUGGAAUCAAGAAGUUCUGAUUUGGGGUCCACUUCUGGACACCUUUGGAAUUAUAGAAAAAUGAAACAUGAAAAUGGGCUAAAAUUUCGACCCACUUUAAAAUGAAAUAUUUUAAUGUAGCAUGUUAGGAAAUUCAACCACGAAUUCAUAGAGGUAUCCCACAUGCAAAUCGGGAUUCAUGAACUCAAGUUAUGGAAUCAAGAAGUUCUGAUUUGGGGUCCAAUUUUGGAGUCCUUUGGAAUUAUAAGAAAUAAGAGAACAUGAAAAUGGGCUAAAAUUUCGACCCACUUUAAAAUGAAAUAUUUGAAUGUAGUACGUUAGGAAAUUCAACCACGAAUUCAUAGAGGUAUCCCACAUGCAAAUCGGGAUUCGGGAACUCAAGUUAUGGAAUCAAGAAGUUCUGAUUUGGAGUCCACUUCUGGACACCUUUGGAAUUAUAGAAAAAUGAAACAUGAAAAUGGGCUAAAAUUUCGACCCACUUUAAAAUGAAAUAUUUUAAUGUAGCAUGUUAGGAAAUUCAACCACGAAUUCAUAGAGGUAUCCCACAUGCAAAUCGGGAUUCGGGAACUCAAGUUAUGGAAUCAAGAAGUUCUGAUUUGGGGUCCACUUCUGGACACCUUUGGAAUUAUAGAAAAAUGAAACAUGAAAAUGGGCUAAAAUUUCGACCCACUUUAAAAUGAAAUAUUUUAAUGUAGCAUGUUAGGAAAUUCAACCACGAAUUCAUAGAGGUAUCCCACAUGCAAA